rnacentral:rRNA from 1 species
AUAUCACUCAGCGCAGGAAAAGAAAGCAACAGCGAUGCUCCUAGUAACGGCGAGUGAACAGGGCAGAGCCCAAGCCUGAAUCGGUGUUCUACGGACAUCCGAAAUGUGGCGCAAGCGGCGGCAUAGAUCUACUGGCAUCGAGAUAAGUCUCCUGGAAUGGGGCAUCUUAGAGGGUGAUACUCCCGUGAUUCCUUGGUCGGCGUGCGCGUACGACACGUUUUCUUCGAGUCGCGUUGUUUGGGAAUGCAGCGCAAAGCAGGUGGUAAAUUCCAUCUAAAGCUAAAUACUGGUGCGAGACCGAUAGCGAACAAGUACCGUGAGG